GUGAGUCCUGUAAUUCAUCAGAGCCUCCUUCUGCCCCCGAUGGCCUUUCAAAUGCCUCCUCCACCUCCUCCUCAGAUUCUUCAGACUCAGCUGUUGCGAGCACAGGCUGGCACGGAAUCACAACAGGAAGACGCUUUAUCAACCCAUUUAAAGUCCCUUUGGCUAUUUAAACAAUAUUGUUAUCAAGAGGACCCCAGUGUGGUUUACGGAGGGGGGGGGAAAUGGCCGUUUGUAGCAGGAUAAAACUACUGUACAGUAUAACCCAAAUUCAGCACAAGUUGAGAAACACUGAUUUAAAGUGAUUAUCGUUUAUACUCCUACCCAUCGUUGAGGUCUCCAGAUGUGUUUGGCCACAUCCCUUUCCAGCCAACACAAGAAGUUGGUGUACACUGGCUUGGCCACGACUCCUGGUGAAUAUAAAGGUGAUAGGCGGUAUGUGGAGAAUUGAGGCUGUGAGUCUCCUACAGAACUUGUAGCUUGUCAGGAAAAUAGGGACAAAGAAGAUUAGUACUGCACAAAAAAUAUCAGCUCUCCUGGAUUAGAAGCUGCUCAAAAACUCUGCCGCGCUCGAAACAGAUGUUAGGAAGGACACAGGAAUCUCAGAAGACCUUCCAGUACUUGUGACUUGUUUAAGCAGUUACUAAGUUAAUGAAGAAAAUUACCCUUUCAAUUUGAUCUGCUAUAUCGUCCUUCACCCAAGAGUAAUAUUAUUAAAGCCUCUUUAAAACUUUUCAAUCUCUAGAAAUCAGAAGGACUUUUAUGAAACACGGCAUUCAUAAUAAAUGUAUUCUAAAUACCAUUUAUGUAUUGUAAAUAUGCACUGCACAUAGGUUUCCAGAUGAAGUGAGAAUUUAGUACGUCCUAGACUAUUUAAAAGUACAACGUAUUGACUCCUUUACUGUAUGCUGCACGUUCAGUUUGGUGUUUAGCAAAAACAGAACACACUCCCAACUUCGUUAACAAACUGGAGUGUUUUCUUUAAUCAGAUGGUUAUUUUGGUUUUAUCAAUUGCAAAACGGGCUGCACUGCCAGGGAAAUAAUGUAUAGCAAAAUGUGUCUUAAUAAAUAUACUUCAUAUAAUAAAUAUGAAGUUGUGACGAAAGGUUGAA